rnacentral:rRNA from 1 species
CAGCCGCCGCGGGAAUACGAAGGGUGCAAGCGUUACUCGGAAUUACUGGGCGUAAAGCGUGCGUAGGUGGUGGUUUAAGUCCGUUGUGAAAGCCCUGGGCUCAACCUGGGAAUUGCAGUGGAUACUGGGUCACUAGAGUGUGGUAGAGGAUAGUGGAAUUUCCGGUGUAGCAGUGAAAUGCGUAGAGAUCGGAAGGAACAUCUGUGGCGAAGGCGACUAUCUGGGCCAACACUGACACUGAGGCACGAAAGCGUGGGGAGCAAACAGGAUUAGAUACCCCCGUAGUCCCUGUCUCUUAUAA